rnacentral:rRNA from 1 species
GCUGGCGGCAGGCCUAACACAUGCAAGUCGAACGGAGUUAUAUUGUAGCUUGCUAUGGUAUAACUUAGUGGCAGACGGGUGAGUAAUGUAUAGGAAUCUACCUAGUAGUACGGAAUAAUUGUUGGAAACGGCAACUAAUACCGUAUACGCCCUACGGGGGAAAAAUUUAUUGCUAUUAGAUGAGCCUAUAUUAGAUUAGCUAGUUGGUGGAGUAAUAGCCUACCAAGGCAAUGAUCUAUAGCUGAUCUGAGAGGAUGAUCAGCCACACUGGAACUGAGAUACGGUCCAGACUCCUACGGGAGGCAGCAGUGGGGAAUAUUGGACAAUGGGCGAAAGCCUGAUCCAGCCAUGCCGCAUGAGUGAAGAAGGCCUUUGGGUUGUAAAGCUCUUUUAGUGAGGAAGAUAAUGACGGUACUCACAGAAGAAGUCCUGGCUAACUCCGUGCCAGCAGCCGCGGUAAUACGGAGAGGGCUAGCGUUAUUCGGAAUUAUUGGGCGUAAAGGGCGCGUAGGCGGAUUAGUAAGUUAAAAGUGAAAUCCCAAGGCUCAACCUUGGAAUUGCUUUUAAAACUGCUAAUCUAGAGAUUGAAAGAGGAUAGAGGAAUUCCUAGUGUAGAGGUGAAAUUCGUAAAUAUUAGGAGGAACACCAGUGGCGAAGGCGUCUAUCUGGUUCAAAUCUGACGCUGAGGCGCGAAGGCGCGGGGAGCAAACAGGAUUAGAUACCCUGGUAGUCCACGCUGUAAACGAUGAAUGUUAAAUAUGGGAAGUUUUACUUUCUGUAUUACAGCUAACGCGUUAAACAUUCCGCCUGGGGACUACGGUCGCAAGAAUUAAACUCAAAGGA